AUUUUGUAUACGGCAGUGUAGUACUAUGUGGUUAACUGAAAACGAAGAGUAAGCAAAUUAGUUCAUGUCAGAACAACUGUAGCCGGCAUCGCCGCCAUCGCUUAUGGAGCUCCACACCAUUCCCCAAUUGUACGAGAGCAUGUUCAAUCUUCGCCAUUCUAUACUAUGUGCAAAUGGUCAACUCUUUUCCAAACAAGAAGAUAUGAGGAUUAGGCAUAUAUGCCCCAUAAGGUAGCUAUAUUCAUGUGUUGUAGUGUGGAUUAUCGUCACGCUCUGUCUUGGACUGCAGAUAGCUAGGUUAACAAAAAUGGAUACUCUGCAUAUUUUCUGAAUUUUUAGUAAGGUCUACAUGAAUAAGGUUAGCAGUAGUUCUGACUUGGGGCACUGGUUAAUUCUUCACAUGCAGGAACGUGGAGAGAUGGUGGGCUCCAAGCCCAUGGUGAUUUUAUUGUGCUUGCAGCUUGAGAUGUACUUGGUCCAAAUGAAAAUCAUCAUUUUGAAGGGCAACUUCGCAUGGAAUUAGGAUCACUUAAUAAGGUUCUGGUUUCUUUUUCAAAUUCACUUGCUUUAUGCAUGAACCUAUUAUAGAUUUGUUGGUGUUGAUUUGCAGUAAGAGCAAAUGUAAUAUUGUUCUCAUCAAUUUCUUUCAUAACAUGUGUAAUGCGUUAUAACAUCAGUUUCAUUGGAUUGGAAAAGGUGAUAAACAUGCAACCAUUCUUACUCGAUGAUAUGAAUACUUCAGGAGCAAUGGUGGCAUUUGUUUGCACAUUAGUAUUCCAUUAUGUAGUAAAGGAUAUGGUCUGGUAGUCAUUCUUUAUCGUUAUAGUUAUUGUCAAAUGGUGGAAUAUUGCUGCCUAGCAGCUCUGGUUCAUGUGUGUGUGAAAAACAAUGUAAAAUCAUUUUUGUUGCUGUAGAAUCUCAUGAGUCGUAUGAAAAAGAAGGCUAGGAUAUAUUUUUUUUAAUUGUUCAGCUGCUUGUGUUACAGAUCUGGGCAUACCUUUUGUUUGAGAUAAAUUUGGGCAUAAAUUGUCACAAAUAAAUGGGUGGCGUUGGGUCAAGGUUCAGGAACCCAGGGGCAUCAUGCUUCUUUUGAGCCACAUGGGGAGAAUUACAUCCAUGUAUUAGAAAAACUAGGUGCCCGCUUAAACAGAAAAAAUACAACUCUUGCUGACCGGGAGCUUCAUGGUAGUGGCUAGAAUUUAAUCAGAGAUCCAUGUACAGGUUGAUUGUUAUGAAACCAUGCGAUGGAAUCUUGAUGUUGACAAUGUCCAGAAAUCUGAUUCGUCAGAGACAAAAUCCAACCUUAAUUCCCCCAUUCAGAUCAUGAAAUAUUGGGGUUAACAGUUUGCGAUGUAAGAUGGGUUGAGAUCUGCUAUACGUUAAUUUUCUUUUGUUCAAAUGUUUUCUUUUGUUUUGAAACCUUAAUGUUUUC